GAUGUUCAUAACCCUUUGUUGUCCGACUCUGUUGCCUCCGGGGCGACCCUGCCUUCGGGCGGGGGCUCCGGGUGGACACUUCAAACUCUUGCGUAACUUUGCAGUCUGAGUAAACUUAAUUAAUAAAUUAAAACUUUUAACAACGGAUCUCUUGGUUCUGGCAUCGAUGAAGAACGCAGCGAAAUGCGAUAAGUAAUGUGAAUUGCAGAAUUCAGUGAAUCAUCGAAUCUUUGAACGCACAUUGCGCCCCCUGGUAUUCCGGGGGGCAUGCCUGUUCGAGCGUCAUUUCACCACUCAAGCCUCGCUUGGUAUUGGGCAACGCGGUCCGCCGCGUGCCUCAAAUCGACCGGCUGGGUCUUCUGUCCCCUAAGCGUUGUGGAAACUAUUCGCUAAAGGGUGCUCGGGAGGCUACGCCGUAAAACAAACCCAUUUCUAAGGUUGACCUCGGAUCAGGUAGGGAUACCCGCUGAACUUAAGCAUAUC
rnacentral:rRNA from 1 species